UGCGCCCCUCCGGUCGUCAAGCCUUGCUUGAAAUGCGUAAAUGCGGAAAGGUGAAGUGGCUGACCUGGGUCACACCGCUUUAAGUAGCGGAGUGGGGUCCCUAGCCAGGCCUAUGGGACUCCCGCUGGAGCCUUUCCCCCUCUGGGGCUAGGGCUGGACCCACAGGCUGCUGGAGCAGGCAGAAGGGGAGGGGCCCAAGGCCCAGACUCCAGGGCCUCGUCAGGAUCAUCAACCCGGCUUUGCCCAUUCAGCGCAGGCCUCCGUUUCCGGGCCUGUUUCCCCAUCCACACUGUCUCUCAGGGGUUGUGCAACCAACACCACCCUCCACCUGCAGAAAUCUUCACCUGGCAAAACGGAAACUCUACCCACUAUGCACUAACUCCCCUUUCCCUCUCCCCCGGGCCCUGGCAACCACCUUUCUACCUUUCGUCUCUGUGGUCUUGACUAUUCUAGGUACUGCAAAUAAAUAGUCACACAGCGUUUA
rnacentral:lncRNA from 1 species